AUUCCAGCUCCAAUAGCGUAUAUUAAAGUUGUUGUGGUUAAAAAGCUCGUAGUUGGAUUUCGGCGGGUAGUGGUUGGUUUGAAUUGAUUCAACACUGACUUUUUUACCCGUGUGUUUUGCCAGAAUCUUACGGGUGAUCUUUACCGAUUGUCCGUUGGAACUGGCAGGUUUACUUUGAAAAAAUUAGAGUGCUCAAAGCAAGCUUACUGCUUGAAUAGUUGCGCAUGGAAUAAUAAGAUAGGACCUGAGUUCUAUUUUGUUGGUUUCUAGAGCUGAGGUAAUGAUUAAUAGGGAUAGUUGGGGGCAUUCGUAUUUAACAGUCAGAGGUGAAAUUCUUGGAUUUGUUAAAGACGGACUACUGCGAAAGCAUUUGCCAAGGAUGUUUUCAUCA
rnacentral:rRNA from 1 species